CCUACGGGAGGCAGCAGUGAGGAAUAUUGGUCCAUGGGCGCGAGCCUGAACCAGCCAAGUCGCGUGAGGGAAGACGGCCCUACGGGUUGUAAACCUCUUUUGCAGGGGAGCAACGGGCGUCACGUGUGGCGCCACUGAGAGUACCCGGAGAAAAAGAAUCGGCUAACUCGGUGCCAGAAGACGCGGUAAAACGGAGGAUGCGAGCGUCAUCCGGAUUGAUUGGGUUUAAAGGUUGCGUAGGCGGACCGUUAAGUCAGUGUUCAAGUUGAGGGGCUCAACCCCUUCUUGCCAUGGAAACUGGCGCUCUUGAGUGGAAGAGAAGUAUGCGGAAUGCGUGGUGUAGCGGGGAAAUGCAUAGAUAUCACGCAGAACCCCGAUUGCGAAGGCAGCAUGCCGGCUUCCGACUGACGCUGAAGCACGAAAGCGUGGGGAUCGAACAGGAUUAGAUACCCUAGUAGUC
rnacentral:rRNA from 1 species